GAUGAACGCUGGCGGCGUGCUUAACACAUGCAAGUCGAACGAUAAAGCCCAGCUUGCUGGGUGGAUUAGUGGCGAACGGGUGAGUAACACGUGAGUAACCUGCCCUUAACUCUGUGAUAAGCCUGGGAAACUGGGUCUAAUACCUGAUAGGAGCGUCCCCCGCAUGGUGGGUGUUGGGAAGAUUUAUCGGUUUUGGAUGGACUCGCGGCCUAUCAGCUUGUUGGUGAGGUAAUGGCUCACGAAGGCGACGACGGGUAGCCGGCCUGAGAGGGUGACCGGCCACACUGGGACUGAGACACGGCCCAGACGCCUACGGGAGGCAGCAGUGGGGAAUAUUGCACAAUGGGCGCAAGCCUGAUGCAGCGACGCCGCGUAAGGGAUGACGGCCUUCGGGUUGUAAACCGCUUUCAGUAGGGAAGAAGCGAAAGUGACGGUACCUGCAGAAGAAGCACCGGCUAACUACGUG
rnacentral:rRNA from 1 species